GAUGAACGCUGGCGGCGUGCCUAAUACAUGCAAGUCGAGCGAACAGACGAGGAGCUUGCUCCUCUGACGUUAGCGGCGGACGGGUGAGUAACACGUGAAUAACCUACCUAUAAGACUGGGAUAACUUCGGGAAACCGGAGCUAAUACCGGAUAAUAUAUUGAACCGCAUGGUUCAAUAGUGAAAGACGGUUUUGCUGUCACUUAUAGAUGGAUCCGCGCCGCAUUAGCUAGUUGGUAAGGUAACGGCUUACCAAGGCAACGAGGCGUAGCCGGCCUGAGAGGGUGAUCGGCCACACUGGAACUGAGACACGGUCCAGACUCCUACGGGAGGCAGCAGUAGGGAAUCUUCCGCAAUGGGCGAAAGCCUGACGGAGCGACGCCGCGUGAGUGAUGAAGGUCUUCGGAUCGUAAAACUCUGUUAUUAGGGAAGAACAAAUGUGUAAGUAACUAUGCACGUCUUGACGGUACCUAAUCAGAAAGCCACGGCUAACUACGUGCCAGCCGCCGCCGUAA
rnacentral:rRNA from 1 species